rnacentral:lncRNA from 1 species
GCUGUUAUGAAUGUAUGAUGUUCAUAUGAAAAUGUAUUUUAUUAGUGUUCUUAUAUAUCUAAUUCUAUAUUUUCAUCAUACUCUAUCUAAGGACAAAAUAUUACAUGAAUGUCUUGAAUUCCUAACUCAAGCAACAUGCCAAUUUAAAUGAUCCUUUUCUUGUAAUAGUUCAGUAAGAACAACGCGUGCUUCUUAAACAAGUCUCAUCAGGUAGUGAGGAAUGGCAAAUACAUAAAAACACUACAAAUAAAAAUUGACAAUUAUAAUGUAUAUACCUUAUAAUCUUUUCCAGUACCAAAGCACAUGGUUCUGGGUAAUGUCAUUAAAAUAGCUUAUGUACUGACCAAAUGAUAGUAACAUAUAGUCUGGUUUUGGUGAUAACCAUUUGACGUGGCUCUGUACUUAUAUAUUCCGUGAUUGUUCUAUGGUAAAAUUUUUGUAUUCGAGCUUUUCAUUUUUGCUAAUGUGCUUUGUCUGUGUGCCUUUUGUGUUUUUUGUCACAUGACGUGGCUCUGUAAAUAUACAUUCCUUCAUUGUUUUAUUGUGCUAUGAUAAAUGUUUGUAUUCUU